CCAGCCCUCCUCGGCUGCAGAGGGCCAGGGCUCCGCCGCUCCCGGCCGCGUAGCAGGUGCCCAGUCCGCGCCCCACACCUCUCUGCCGGGAGGACACCGGCAGGACAGCGAGGGCACAGGCCCCGGGCUCCACCCGCUGAGCCCCAGACCGGGGAACCCACGCCGCUGUCCCUUCCCCAAAGCCGAGGGGCGCAUCCCGGACUGGCCGCCUGCCUCGCCUCUCGGUUGCUGCUGCUUAUACCCUCUGGGCAACAGGCAACCUGAGCUCCCAGACUGGCCCAUCGCCUAGCCAGGUGAGGGGCCUUGUCCCUCCACACACUUUCCAGGCAGUGGGGACCCCUGGCUGGGGGCUGCAGCAUGGAGAAAUGACACAGAAACAAACUUCCUCU